rnacentral:rRNA from 1 species
GGCUCAGGAUGAACGCUAGCGACAGGCCUAACACAUGCAAGUCAGGGGCAGCACAAGGAGCAAGUCUGAGGUGGCGACCGGCGCACGGGUGAGUAACACGUAUGCAACCUGACCUGUAAGCGGGGAAUAACCCGUUGAAAGACGGACUAAUACCGCAUAAUACUAAAUUACUGCAUGGUAAUUUAUUUAAACAUUUAUGGCUUACAGAUGGGCAUGCGCAUGAUUAGCUAGUUGGAGAGGUAACGGCUCCCCAAGGCAACGAUCAUUAGGGGUUCUGAGAGGAAGGUCCCCCCACACUGGUACUGAGACACGGACCAGACUCCUACGGGAGGCAGCAGUGAGGAAUAUUGGUCAAUGGACGAGAGUCUGAACCAGCCAAGUCGCGUGCAGGAAGAAUGUCCUAUGGAUUGUAAACUGCUUUUGCAGGGGAAUAAAGUGCAUCACGUGUGAUGUUUUGUAUGUACUCUGCGAAUAAGGAUCGGCUAACUCCGUGCCAGCCGCGGC